rnacentral:lncRNA from 1 species
GCCAGGCGAGGGAGCUGGUCGCUUGCUUGCUCCUCUCUCCGUCUCUGAUUUCGGCUGAGAUGAACGCGGCUUUCCCCAGAACUUUGUUUUGAAGCGGCAUCCGGCAUCCGCGCCCACCCGCCCGGCAGCCCCCCUUCCCGGCACCCGGGCAAUUGAGGAGCGAGGCGUUGCGGCGGCGGCGGCAUCUUCUCUCCAUCAGCAACAGGGAGCCCACGGAGGAAGGACCCGGGUGCUGAAUUUCCCCGCUGCGGCAGAAAGGCGUUGGAAAAGUCUGGGAAGGGCUGAGGCAUCUGGUCCAUAUUUCUCCCCAGAGAUCCUGUUGACUUUUGCAGCAAGAUGGAAAGUGAUGCAACUUGGGUAAGAGAGCAUUAAAAUGAGCAGGCAACCAAUUUAUUUAUUUAUCUACCUAUUUAUUAUAUCUCACUUUCCCCCCGAAGCAGCUGCAUACACAGUUCUUCCCCUGUCACCCGCUAUUUAAUCCCCACGAUGACCCUGUGAGGUAUGUUUUGGCUGAGAGGCAGUGACGGGCUCAAGAUCACCCAGUGAGCGGUGCAGGGAUUUUAAUUCUGGUCUCUCAGGUCCUAGUCCGACAUUCUAACCCGGCGUUUCUCAGCCUUGGGUCCCACAAUGCUGUUGGACUACAACUCCCAUCAUUCCUAGCCAGCAUGGCUAUACAGUGGUACCUCGGGUUACAUACGCUUCAGGUUACAGACUCCGCUAACUCAGAAAUAUUACCUCGGGUUAAGAACUUUUCUUCAGGAUGAGAACAGAAAUUGUGCUCUGGCAGCGCGACGGCAGCAGGAGGCCCCAUUAGCUAAAGUGGUACUUCAGGUUAAGAACAGUUUCAGGUUAAGAACAGACCUCCAGAAUGAAUUAAGUACUUAACCCGAGGUACCACUGUAUGUAAGGGAUAUAAUAAAUGUAUAAAAGAUGGGAUAUAAAUGUAACAAAUAAAUUAAAAAAGAAUCCUGGGAAGGGCACUUUACCCCUAACAGAGCUACAAUUCCCAGCACCCUUAACAAGUUAAAGUUCCCAGGAUCCUUUGGGGGGAAUCAUGCACUUUAAAUGUGUGGUUGCGGCCUGAGAAUUCCAGU